AUGAACGCUAGCUACAGGCUUAACACAUGCAAGUCGAGGGGCAGCAUUUUAGUUUGCUUGCAAACUGAAGAUGGCGACCGGCGCACGGGUGAGUAACACGUAUCCAACCUGCCGAUAACUCCGGAAUAGCCUUUCGAAAGAAAGAUUAAUACCGGAUGGCAUACGAAUAUCGCAUGAUAUUUUUAUUAAAGAAUUUCGGUUAUCGAUGGGGAUGCGUUCCAUUAGUUUGUUGGCGGGGUAACGGCCCACCAAGACUACGAUGGAUAGGGGUUCUGAGAGGAAGGUCCCCCACAUUGGAACUGAGACACGGUCCAAACUCCUACGGGAGGCAGCAGUGAGGAAUAUUGGUCAAUGGGCGCGAGCCUGAACCAGCCAAGUAGCGUGAAGGAUGAAGGCUCUAUGGGUCGUAAACUUCUUUUAUAUGGGAAUAAAGUUUUCCACGUGUGGAAUUUUGUAUGUACCAUAUGAAUAAGGAUCGGCUAACUCCGUGCCAGCAGCCGCGGUAAUACGGAGGAUCCGAGCGUUAUCCGGAUUUAUUGGGUUUAAAGGGAGCGUAGGUGGAUUGUUAAGUCAGUUGUGAAAGUUUGCGGCUCAACCGUAAAAUUGCAGUUGAAACUGGCAGUCUUGAGUACAGUAGAGGUGGGCGGAAUUCGUGGUGUAGCGGUGAAAUGCUUAGAUAUCACGAAGAACUCCGAUUGCGAAGGCAGCUCACUAGACUGUCACUGACACUGAUGCUCGAAAGUGUGGGUAUCAAACAGGAUUAGAUACCCUGGUAGUCCACACAGUAAACGAUGAAUACUCGCUGUUUGCGAUAUACAGUAAGCGGCCAAGCGAAAGCAUUAAGUAUUCCACCUGGGGAGUACGCCGGCAACGGUGAAACUCAAAGGAAUUGACGGGGGCCCGCACAAGCGGAGGAACAUGUGGUUUAAUUCGAUGAUACGCGAGGAACCUUACCCGGGCUUAAAUUGCAACAGAAUAUAUUGGAAACAGUAUAGCCGUAAGGCUGUUGUGAAGGUGCUGCAUGGUUGUCGUCAGCUCGUGCCGUGAGGUGUCGGCUUAAGUGCCAUAACGAGCGCAACCCUUAUCGAUAGUUACCAUCAGGUUAUGCUGGGGACUCUGUCGAGACUGCCGUCGUAAGAUGUGAGGAAGGUGGGGAUGACGUCAAAUCAGCACGGCCCUUACGUCCGGGGCUACACACGUGUUACAAUGGGGGGUACAGAGGGCCGCUACCACGCGAGUGGAUGCCAAUCCCUAAAACCCCUCUCAGUUCGGACUGGAGUCUGCAACCCGACUCCACGAAGCUGGAUUCGCUAGUAAUCGCGCAUCAGCCAUGGCGCGGUGAAUACGUUCCCGGGCCUUGUACACACCGCCCGUCACACCAUGAGAGUUGGAAAUACCCGAAGCCUGUGAGCUAACCUAAGAGGCAGCAGUCGAAGGUAGAGCCAAUGAUUGGGGUG
rnacentral:rRNA from 1 species